UGACGUGGACGCUAGUCUCGAAGAUUAAGCCAUGCAAGUUGGGCACGCGGAAGCAAGCGGCGAACGGCUCAGUAAAGCAGUCUGGAUCGGCUUGACAGAAACGGGCGGAUAACCGAGGGAAACUUCGGCCAAGACGAGGUAAGGAGGCGGGCUUGAAGUGCGGAAGCAGCGAGCCAGCGCGGCGCGAGAGCGCGGUCAAACGAGAGACUGUCCUAUCAGCUAGAAGGUAGGGUCGGGGCCUAUCUUGGCCGUGACGGGUGACGGGGAAUUAGGGUUUGAUUCCGGAGAAGGAGCCUGAGAGACGGCUCCUAGAUCCAUGGAUCGCAGCAGGCGCGAAAAUUGCUCACUCUCCGGGGGAGGAAGCAGUUACGAGACAUACAGAGCGAAAGAGCGCGGGGUAAAGAUGCGCGCGAAAGCAACUGGAGGGCAGGUCUGGUGCCAGCAGCCGCGGUAAUUCCAGCUCCAGAAGCGUCUAUGUGCAUUGCUGCAGUUAAAAGGUCCGUAGUCGAGCAAAAAAGCCGUGGGGAAAUUAAGGCGCUCAAAGCGGGAUUACAAAGCACGGGAAAAGGGUUAAGAGGGGCAGUUGGGGGCAGGAGGAUUUGGCAGCGAGAGGUGAAAUUCGGUGACCUGCCGAGGACUAACAGAGGCGAAGGCGCCUGCCAGGGAAGCUUUCAUUGAUCAAGGACGAAAGCCGGAGGAUCGAAGACGAU
rnacentral:rRNA from 1 species